rnacentral:rRNA from 1 species
GUAGGUGGCAAGCGUUGUCCGGAAUUAUUGGGCGUAGAGCGCGCGCAGGCGGUUCUUUAAGUCUGAUGUGAAAGCCCACGGCUCAACCGUGGAGGGUCAUUGGAAACUGGAGAACUUGAGUACAGAAGAGGAAAGCGGAAUUCCACGUGUAGCGGUGAAAUGCGUAGAGAUGUGGAGGAACACCAGUGGCGAAGGCGGCUUUCUGGUCUGUAACUGACGCUGAGGCGCGAAAGCGUGGGGGGAGCAAACAGGAUUAGAUACCCUGGUAGUCCACGCCGUAAACGAUGAGUGCUAAGUGUUAGGGGGUUUCCGCCCCCCCCUUAGUGCUGCAGCUAACGCAUUAAGCACUCCGCCUGGGGAGUACGGCCGCAAGGCUG